rnacentral:lncRNA from 1 species
CUGGCCCCAGGGAUCCUCAGUUGUUAGAAGAGCUGUGGAGAGGGAUUCUGGGCAGGCGCUGUCUCAGACCAGAGUGGCUGUGGGAGGCUCCUCCCUGGUUAGUUUACUUUACACCCCCUCCGAAAGCGAGGACUCCCUCGUCUCCCCUGAUCUCUGUCUGCUCCCAACUCAAGCAUGAAAAUGACUUUUCCACAUGCUGGGCCUUCCCCCAUCCCCUCGCACACACUCACACUAUGCUCAGAAGCUUCCAGAAUCCCAAACCCGCCCCAAAGCUGCCACUUUGCAAAGGCUUCCUCUAAAGCCACAUCUGUCCCAGAGAGACCCCCGAAAGUGGAGGAAAGGGGUCGGCUGGCUGGAGUUGGGGCCCGGAGGCUGCCCAGAUCAGGAGGAAUGGGCCGGCGCCCCCUCCCCACAGCCCCGGCGAGUUCCUGGACGGGCGCGCGCAAGCACAGCGACCCCUACCGGCUCCUCCACUCUCCCCAGCCACCUCCUCCAGGAAGCUCGCUCGGGCUUCCGGGACCUGGAAGAGUCCUGUAGAGACUGUCUGAGAGAUGCUUUUGGCCUCCCAGACAUUUUGUCCUUGGGUCCUCACUAAUACAUCACGAGGUCUCUUCACUUGAACCAGUUGGGGGUAAACUUCGUUUCCCGUCGUGACCCUGCCUGAUACAGCACCUUCUGCCCAGGCCACAAAACAAGCCAUGGCCAGCGGGAGGCCAAGGGACAAGAGAGAGAUUGCCAGAGGGCAGAAACACACAGGACAAAAUGGGGCAGAGAAGCAGAAACAGGGAGAGAUUAAAAAGGCAAAGGCUGGCCGGGCGCUGUGGCUCAUGCCUGUAAUCUCAACAUUUUGGGAGGCCUGAAGGAGGUGGAUCACUUGAGCCCAAGAGUUUGAGAUCAGCCUGGGCAACAUAGCAAGACCCCGUCUCUGCAAAAAAAAA